CCUACGGGAGGCUGCAGUGAGGAAUAUUGGUCAAUGGGCGAGAGCCUGAACCAGCCAAGUAGCGUGAAGGAUGACGGAUCUAUGGUUUGUAAACUUCUUUUAUCUGGGAAUAACGUGAGGCACGUGUUCCUUUUUGUAUGUACUAUAUGAAUAAGCAUCGGCUAACUCCGUGCCAGCAGCCGCGGUAAUACGGAGGAUGCGAGCGUUAUCCGGAUUUAUUGGGUUUAAAGGGUGCGUAGGUGGGUAAUUAAGUCAGCGGUGAAAGUUUGUGGCUCAACCGUAAAAUUGCCGGUGAUACUGGUAGACGUGAGUAUAUUUGAGGUAGGCGGAAUGCGUGGUGUAGCGGUGAAAUGCAUAGAUAUCACGCAGAACUCCGAUUGCGAAGGCAGCUUACUAAACUACAACUGACACUGAAGCACGAAAGCGUGGGGAUCAAACAGGAUUAGAUACCCGGGUAGUC
rnacentral:rRNA from 1 species